UACAGAGGGGGCAAGCGUUAUUCGGAAUUAUUGGGCGUAAAGGGCGCGUAGGCGGCCAGGCAAGUGGAAGGUGAAAUCCCUCGGCUUAACCGAGGAACUGCCCUCCAAACUGCUUGGCUUGAGACCGGGAGAGGUGAGUGGAAUUCCCAGUGUAGCGGUGAAAUGCGUAGAUAUCGGGAGGAACACCUGUGGCGAAAGCGGCUCACUGGACCAUAACUGACGCUGAUGCACGAAAGCUGGGGGAGCAAACAGG
rnacentral:rRNA from 1 species